rnacentral:lncRNA from 1 species
UGACCCUUCGUGAAGUCAAUCUGUCGAUUAUUCUUUUCUGCUUUUUAAGUAAGUAGUUUAUUCUGACUGAUGCAUCUUCUAUUUAAGCAUAACUCUUCAAAGAGUCAUUCUUUAUUUCAAACUCCCCCUUCAAUCAUAACUCUCAUUGCAUAGAGUUCUACUUCAAGUGAGGUUUCUACUUCAAUUCCAACUCUUGUCUCCUUAGUUUUGUAGUCAAACUCUAACUCUCCAAAGAGUCCUUCAAAUUGUACGUUUUGCAUAGACUUCUUUAAUUUUUAGAAUCUUUCUUCUUCUACACAUAGG